CUACGGGUUGCUGCGGUGAGGAAUAUUGCACAAUGGGGGAAACCCUGAUGCAGCAACGCCGCGUGGAGGAUGACGCAUUUCGGUGUGUAAACUCCUUUUAUGAGUCAAGAAAAUGACGGUAGCUCAUGAAUAAGCACCGGCUAACUCCGUGCCAGCAGCCGCGGUAAUACGGAGGGUGCAAGCGUUACUCGGAAUCACUGGGCGUAAAGGACGCGUAGGCGGGAUGUCAAGUCAGGUGUGAAAUCCUAUGGCGCAACCAUAGAACUGCACUUGAAACUGGCAACCUAGAGUAUGGGAGGGGGAGAUGGAAUUAGUGGUGUAGGGGUAAAAUCCGUAGAUAUCACUAGGAAUACCGAAAGCGAAGGCGAUCUCCUGGAACAUUACUGACGCUAAGGCGUGAAAGCGUGGGGAGCAAACAGGAUUAGAUACCCCAGUAGUC
rnacentral:rRNA from 1 species